rnacentral:rRNA from 1 species
GUGAAAAGUAGUGGUUAAUGGAAAGCUUGACGGAGUCUAGAAGUCCAGGUGGAGGUCAAGCUAAUAAUGAAGAUAAGAGGCUUGAGAAUUUGAGAUGAGAUGGAUGCGAGCGUGUGGAUGCCAGGCUGCUGUAAAUGUGCUUUUAAACCAUGGGGAACUGGCUCAGCCGUCUGAGCAUCAUCCAACCCAAUCAGCCUUCACAGCUCUCCCGGCGAAACUAAGGAGGGACGUACGGGAGAGGUGACAGGUGUUGCCUCAUGCGUUCUCGCAAGCAACUGGCCAUGCUAUUGCUGUUGGCACUGUUGCUGCUCUGUAAUGACAGAGUUGGCAACGUCAAAGGCUUAACGAUCCACGAGAGUAGCAUCGUCGAUCUGCAUGCGCUGCUCGAUUUCAAGCAGGGCAUCACCGACGAUCCACGAGGAGCCUUGAGCAGCUGGACCAACAACACCCACUUCUGUCGAUGGCGUGGUGUGAACUGCACCACAACACGUCCGUUUCGCGUCUCGCGGCUUGUCCUCACCGGCCUGGAUUUAGCAGGACAAAUCACCUCCUCUCUUGGAAACAUGACUUUCCUUCAAUCACUCGACCUUUUUUUUUUGGAAGGUUCAAUCACUCGACCUUGAGUGGAAUAACUUCGUCGGCCCCAUACCUAUCCUUGGCCGUCUCCAACAGCUGCACACACUUCGGAACGAGGUGACGACAAUUGCAACCGACGAUGCCUUCGACAAGGAGACGGCACCUAAGGUGCCGCCGUCAUCCGCCAUGAUCGAGGUCAACAUGGUUUUCACAGGCAGGCACUCCGAGCCAGCAGCAGGACGGAUCGGCACUGAACUACGCUGUGACGGCGCAUGUAGGGAACCAGCGACCCUCGCCGACCCCUCAACACGCCGCUGGUUGGCCCACAAAGUUCCUUUAUAGCUCGUCCUACAUGGAACCUCUUAUCUUCAGCCCUUCAACAUUGCUUUGAGACCCGUACUUUUCAACUAACUUGCAACAAGCAAAUUUCUCUUUUUUGUUUCUCUCAAAUGAAAUAACAUAUGGACUUCAAACUUUUCAGAUCAAACAAACUUUACAACUUCAAUGUGUGAAAAAACUUUCAGAUUUUUUGGACCAACAUAAAUAUACAAAAUGUGAAUUUUUUUGAUUAAAAAACUAAAUUUUAGCAUUUUAAAUGCAUGAACAAAUCUGAAAGUUUUUUCCCACGUAGUAAUUAGAAUGUUUUGUUGUCCUGCAAAGUGUGAAGUUUAUACGUUGUUUCGUUUAAGAGAAACAAAAAUGACAAAUGUGCCUGCAUGGAUCUUGAUGCCAAAAUGAAUGGCUAAGAUAAGGGGUACCGUGUAGCUCCAGCUACACAAAACCACACUCCUGGUUGGCCAUAGGCAGAACCGACGACUGAUCUUGGUGGGACCAGAUCCACGGCUGCCACUGCGCCCACCAUCGCGGGAGAACUUGGGCUCCCACGGGCCAUGGAGGCUAGUGUGGCCGCCGCACGACCAGGGGCGCCAUCCUUGCCCCUGCGUGCAACUCCCCCCGGGCCACGCCCCAGCCACACCAGGAGGUCGGCGCCGCAUCCAGACUCCUCGGCUCCUUCGGCUCUGGGCCUGCCGCCACCGCGGUCUACGCUGUUAGCCAAUAAACCGUGACGUGUGUGCGCUGUACGCGUGCGUGUGUGCGUGCACUGGAUGUGCCUGGUGCGAUUCUGGCCGCGUGCUGGCCGUGGUGUGUGCGCGUGUGUGUGCUCACGUGUGGUGCGCGGGAUGUGCGUGUGUGUGUAGCUGUUAGAGACCAGGUCCAGGGCUCGGCGUGUCGCGUGCGUUGCGGGCGCGCGCGGAGGACGCGGCCAGAGCGAGCUGGGUCGUGGGCGCGAGCAGGCAGGGGCGUGGAGAACGUGUCCAUCGUGUGCCUGGGUAUAAAACCCGUGUGUUGGUCAUUGUAACAGUGGGGAGUCGAGUUCGUGCUCGCCGGAAAUACACAGGAGCCGUCCGUAAGGCAAGGUGUUUGAGCGCCUGGAAAUCUUGUGUGUUGCCUCCCCCUGGCUUAUUUCUUGUCUCCGGUGAUCGUCGUGCUCCGGUGGUUCGGUUUCUGCAACAACAUACGCCGGCGGCAGCGGCGGAUGGGAAGGUAGCAGUGCGAGGAAGCCUUUGACGGCGCUAGGGUUCGCCCCUGGCCUCACCCCGAGGAGACGACGCAAGGGAGUCACGCGAGGGGUCUGGAUGUUUGUAUAGAAGAGCUCUUGGUAUUUCAUGAUCCUUUUUGGAUCCUUUGUCAGAUGUCUCCUUUCGGGACCGUUGUAGCCAUUUCAUGAUGUGCAAAGAAACCACAAGACAAAAGAAGAAUGGAGCUUGGUGUGGAGAGGACAGAGGAUCAAACAGGUGUUUGAGGAGAUUAUUGCCAAAAAAACUACGGGUGGAAUCCCUCGAGGAAAAGGAUUGGAGUGGGAUAAGCUUCUGAUGGUGUUUUCUGUUCUGAUCCAAUUUGUGAGGUGGAGGUCCUUGUAAUCUUUGUGGUUGUUCAGGUUAGGUGUUGUGUUCCCCCAUCCUUUAGUCUAUAAAAUGGUAAACGAGUAACGCUGAGCGUUUGUUGGGUUGUCGCUUCAGUUUCUUCUCCUUCGAGUCUCUACCUUGUAAUAGGUUAAGUAAGGUUAGAUUGCUGGCCUGUGCUUUAAUUUCUACACCUGCAGCUGGAUGUGUUCUCAGGCUGUGGCCUUUUGUUUCUGAACUUUGUAAAACCUUGAUGCUGGCGG